UGAUCUGUUUUCUCGUCACACAAAAUUAAAAAAAAAGCAAUAUGAUAAAACUUGGGAUAGCAAGUGUGUACCUAACAUUUGCUACUGUUACGAUAAUGUAUCUGUCGAGUUAUUAUCGGUAGCAAGUGUGAUCAUCCGUGAGUAGACGACGGGUGUUAAAGGGUUAAAUAAACCCCAGGUGGAGCAAACAAGUAUGGGUCAUCAUCUGUGCUUUUUAAGCAAGUCGAAUGAGCUUGGGGCCCGUGCGACUUAAUAAUUAUCACAAUGUUCGUGACCUUGCGUCGACUGCUGCAAUAGGAUACAAUCGAGCAACGACAUCAAAGAGAUGUACUCACGGGCAGAGACAAGUCGUCCAAAUAUCGCGAGUAGACCAACCACGAGAACCACUCGAUAACUUAACAUCUUCUGUCCAGCCAAGCGCGAUCAAAGCCUUGGAUUUACGAGACGGCUGGAUUGCAGAGUCCAAACGUGCUGGAGCACAACUCGCAUGCGAAAAUGCGGCGCUUGUAACGCCAACUUGCACCCCAGACGACCGGGAGUAAUGUUUAUCGCUAACAAAGGUCCUGUGUGCUAGACGUGUAAUUUGAGUUUAUUACUAACCCCGGUGCCACUGAUUAACAUAUUCCGCUAUACGGGAGAUAUGCUAGCGGGAAAAUUCAUGUCAUUACUUUUAUGGUGUUUCUAGUUACUAGAUCGAAAACCCCCUGGAGGAAAA